GCGAGCGGCCGUAACACAUUGAAUUCGCCAGUUACAAAUGGAUCACCGAAGUUGAGUAAAGUUGUGCUCUGUUGGUAUCCGAAUGGGUGACCAUCUGGGAAGAGUGGGCAGUCGCGAGCU
rnacentral:rRNA from 1 species